GCCGAGGUGGCGGAAUUGGUAGACGCGCUAGAUUCAGGAUCUAGUGUCCGCAAGGACGUAGGGGUUCGAGUCCCCUCCUCGGCACCA
rnacentral:tRNA from 1 species